AACGGACGCUGGCGGCAGGCCUAACACAUGCAAGUCGAACGCCCUAGCAAUCGGGAGUGGCAGACGGGUGAGUAACGCGUGGGAACCUUCCCAUUGGUACGGAAUAGCCCAGGGAAACUUGGAAUAAUACCGUAUAAGCACGAAAGGGGACAGAUUUAUCGCCGAUGGAUGGGCCCGCGUAGGAUGAGCUAGUUGGUGAGGUAAUGGCACACCAAGGCGACGAUCCUUAGCUGGUCUGAGAGGACGAUCCGCCACACUGGGACUGAGACACGGCCCAGACUCCUACGGGAGGCAGCAGUGGGGAAUAUUGGACAAUGGGCGCAAGCCUGAUCCAGCCAUGCCGCGUGAGUGACGAAGGCCUUAGGGUCGUAAAGCUCUUUUGGCGGGGACGAUAAUGACGGUACCCGCAGAAUAAGCCCCGGCUAACUUCGUGCCAGCAGCCGCGGUAA
rnacentral:rRNA from 1 species